GGUGGGAUAGCGAAGUGGACAAACGCAUCAGACUGUAAAUCUGACGGCUUACGCCUUCAGAAGGUUCGAAUCCUUCUCCCACCACCA
rnacentral:tRNA from 1 species